rnacentral:misc_RNA from 1 species
GGGAAAUGAUUACAAAAGGAGACAGAAUGUGGAUUAAUGUUUGUUUCAUUGAAAUGUCAUUUCAUCUCAAUCUAUGGAUGAAUGUUCUUUUUUCAUUUAUUUGUUGUUUCGUCUAAAGGUGUGGGACUGGGAUUGGGAUCCCAUAUAGAAUGAAGAUAUUGGGGUGGGAGUCUGUGGUGUGGUUUAUGUAAACAUUUCGUUGUUUCCCAGACGUUUCA